rnacentral:lncRNA from 1 species
CCCUAGUCACCUGAGACAUAAAAGGGCUAACCCAUGAGGGAUUCUUCAGCCUUGAGGGAUAUCCCAUUGCCAUGUUCUUUAUGGAGAAGAGGAGGCUGCACCUACGUGAGCCAAUAUCCUUGCUUAAUAUCCUUUCUAUACUAUUUUAGACUUCUUUUUUGCUGGGUUCGAUGGUUUAUAAGUAUCUCACUGCAUUACAGGUACAAGUCUGAGCUGCUGGACUGGCUUGAGUUAUGGCUAGCCUGUACUACCUUAGCAAAGGGGGCCAGGGAUAGGGAUCAAAGGGGUUUGGAGUUGAAGAAGAGGGAGUUGAUGGAUCUGGAGGCUUGAUUUUGGGCCAUGUGAGCCAUCCCUUUGGUGGUUUUAUUCCCCUUUCCUUUUUGGUCUGGGGUCUGGGUGAUAUGGGCAGGUUUUCUGUGAAUUUAGGUUGCCUCAGACUAGUUCUUCCCAGCCUCCGAGGUUUCUUAGAGCGCUGGGGCCCUGAUCACAGCCAAACUGCCCAGGUGUUCAGCUCCGCCCAGAUAAUCAGCACCUGGUCUGCCCCUGGUGUUUAGCUCCGCCCAGAUGUUCAGCGCAACCACCCCAAGUACAGCUCCGCGGACCCUCAUGCUCAGCGCCAGGUUCUCCCGUGAAGCCGCCCUGAGACGUUUUUUCCUGGCAGUCCCCAGAUCCCAAAGACCCUGGAGUGACCCCCCCCCUCCCCAGACAGAGACGUUCCCCACUCACUUGCUGUCCCAGUGAGCGCUCAGGUAGCUCACUCUGGUUUGGUGGGGGAUGUGGGAGGGGGAGGGGCGGCUCAGUUCACUUUUCUGUGCAAGCUUUUCCUCCUUCUUAUUAUAGUGUGGAAAUGUUCAAACCCCAUGUACCUUCACCUCUGUGGGAUACUGGGGAGUACUGGGGUGUCCUUCUGUUCCUCCAAAGGUGAUUUUUUAUGCUCCUUUGAUGUAGUCUAUUUCAUUCAGUGCUGGGGAGAGAAGAAGCGUGUGGCGUCUAGAUUGCAUCCAUGAUUACCCGGAAGUCGACUUUCUAACAUUCAAAAGAAGCCCUUGGAUCCAAAAAUGUCUUAAGCCUCACUGGACUAGAGGACCUCCAUUCUUUGAUUUUCAUUGUUUUAAGAUAGGGCACAAAAAUAUAUUCACCUGACAGCCAGCAUCUGUGCACCCUGAGAGGCCAAUGUGAAACAACACCCAUUCAAACUGAGACUAUACUAAGCACAAGCAAUCAGAUUUCUACUUGGCCAUUAGCCAUAACUCAUUAUAAUGGUCAAUACCUUUCACUGAGUGUACAACUUCAAGUCAGGGAUUUCUGCCUUCUCUAUGGAGGACAUAUG